rnacentral:rRNA from 1 species
AUGAUGAACGCUAGCUACAGGCUUAACACAUGCAAGUCGAGGGGCAGCAUGGUCUUAGCUUGCUAAGGCCGAUGGCGACCGGCGCACGGGUGAGUAACGCGUAUCCAACCUGCCUUACACUCUUGGACAGCCUUCUGAAAGGGAGAUUAAUACAAGAUGUUAUCAUGAGUAAGCAUUUUCGCAUGAUUAAAGGUUUACCGGUGUAAGAUGGGGAUGCGUUCCAUUAGAUAGUAGGCGGGGUAACGGCCCACCUAGUCUUCGAUGGAUAGGGGUUCUGAGAGGAAGGUCCCCCACAUUGGAACUGAGACACGGUCCAAACUCCUACGGGAGGCAGCAGUGAGGAAUAUUGGUCAAUGGACGAGAGUCUGAACCAGCCAAGUAGCGUGAAGGAUGAAGGUUCUAUGGAUUGUAAACUUCUUUUAUACGGGAAUAAACGGAUCCACGUGUGGAUUUUUGCAUGUACCGUAUGAAUAAGGAUCGGCUAACUCCGUGCCAGCAGCCGCGGUAAUACGGAGGAUCCGAGCGUUAUCCGGAUUUAUUGGGUUUAAAGGGAGCGUAGAUGGGUUGUUAAGUCAGUUGUGAAAGUUUGCGGCUCAACCGUAAAAUUGCAAUUGAUACUGGCAGUCUUGAGUACAGUUGAGGUAGGCGGAAUUCGUGGUGUAGCGGUGAAAUGCUUAGAUAUCACGAAGAACUCCGAUUGCGAAGGCAGCUUACUAACCUGUAACUGACAUUGAUGCUCGAAAGUGUGGGUAUCAAACAGGAUUAGAUACCCUGGUAGUCCACACGGUAAACGAUGAAUACUCGCUGUAGGCGAUAUACAGUCUGCGGCCAAGCGAAAGCAUUAAGUAUUCCACCUGGGGAGUACGCCGGCAACGGUGAAACUCAAAGGAAUUGACGGGGGCCCGCACAAGCGGAGGAACAUGUGGUUUAAUUCGAUGAUACGCGAGGAACCUUACCCGGGCUUAAAUUGCAACCGAAUAUGGCGGAAACGCUAUAGCUAGCAAUAGCGGUUGUGAAGGUGCUGCAUGGUUGUCGUCAGCUCGUGCCGUGAGGUGUCGGCUUAAGUGCCAUAACGAGCGCAACCCUUGCCGAUAGUUACUAACAGGUCAUGCUGAGGACUCUGUCGGGACUGCCAUCGUAAGAUGUGAGGAAGGUGGGGAUGACGUCAAAUCAGCACGGCCCUUACGUCCGGGGCUACACACGUGUUACAAUGGGGGGUACAGAGGGCUGCUACCACGCAAGUGGAUGCCAAUCCCAAAAACCUCUCUCAGUUCGGAUUGAAGUCUGCAACCCGACUUCAUGAAGCUGGAUUCGCUAGUAAUCGCGCAUCAGCCACGGCGCGGUGAAUACGUUCCCGGGCCUUGUACACACCGCCCGUCAAGCCAUGGGAGCCGGGGGUACCUGAAGUGCGUAACCGCAAGGAGCGCCCUAGGGUAAA